UACGGAGGGUGCAAGCGUUAUCCGGAUUCACUGGGUUUAAAGGGAGCGUAGGUGGGCUGGUAAGUCAGUGGUGAAAUCUCCGGGCUUAACUCGGAACGGUCAAGUGAUACUGCAGUGCUAGAGUGCAGAAAGGGCAAUCGGAAUUCUUGGUGUAGCGGUGAAAUGCGUAGAUAUCAAGAGGAACACCUGAGGCGAAGGCGGGUUGCUAGGCUGACACUGACGCUGACAGCGCGAAAGCCAGGGGAGCAAACGGG
rnacentral:rRNA from 1 species